CCUACGGGAGGCAGCAGUAGGGAAUUUUCGUCAAUGGGCGCAAGCCUGAACGAGCAAUGCCGCGUGAACGAGGAAGGUCUUCGGAUCGUAAAGUUCUGUUGAAGGGGAAAAAGAGCGGAGAGAGGAAAUGGUCUCCGAUUGAUAUUACCCUUCGAGGAAGUCCCGUCUAACUACGUGCCCGCAGCCGCGGUAAUACGUGGGUGGCGAGCGUUAUCCGGAAUGAUUGGGCGUAAAGGGUGCGUAGGCGGCCUGCUAAGUCUGGAGUGAAAGGUACCGGCUCAACCGGUACAGGCUCUGGAAACUGGCGGGCUAGAGAGCAGGAGAGGGCGGUGGAACUCCAUGUGUAGCGGUAAAAUGCGUAGAUAUAUGGAAGAACACCAGUGGCGAAGGCGGCCGCCUGGCCUGUUACUGACGCUGAGGCACGAAAGCGUGGGGAGCAAAUAGGAUUAGAUACCCCAGUAGUC
rnacentral:rRNA from 1 species